AGAUUAGCUCGGGCUCAUAAUAAUUAUUAGUAACGUCGAGACCUCCCCCAGAGCUCCAUCCUCCUCCAUCGUCCGAUCGAUGGAUCUCAAGAUGAUGAUGGACGCCGGUUCCGGCGCCGGUCCCUGGACGGAGGAGCGCCACUCCUCCUUCCUCAACUGGAUGGAGGACUCCUUCGUCCGCCGAAUGUUCGCCGGCACCGACCUCCAAGCGUCUUGCUCCCCCGCCGAUAACUGCCGCCACCCCCCGCUCGACCGCUACCUCCCCGACAGCGCCACCGAGUCCACCCGCGACUUCCACGGCCCACGGCCGAGAUCCGUCGCCGGCCGGCCCAUGCGAUCGCCGGCGCUGGUGGAUGAGGAGGAGCAGCCAGAAACUCGGCACUCGGCGGUCAGGAGGACGAGGAAGCGAGCUCUUCCGGGAUACGAUGCAUCGCAGGAUCAGGUGGUCCCACAGCAUGGAAGCGCAGAGGUAGAUGAUAGUAAUUCUAAGAGGAACCAAAGAGAAGAAGGAUGGUGUCUAGCAGUCUCUCCAACCAGCCAAAGUGGGGGAAGAAAAAAAGAGAGGAUGGCGUGACUUCGAUGAUUCCUUUUAGCUGUAGUUCUCUUCUAAUUGCUCGAACUAUGUAGUUUUGGUUUUGUUAAAGAUGAAAGAGGAGUUUCUAAUGCCAGUUCCGCUUGUGUCUAGUAUAUUGCAAAGCUAGUCCACAUGAAGUUGAAUUUAUCAUUCUGCCAUUGUCUCAAACAACCCAAGCAAGGAUCAGAUCAGAAGAGGACAUGUUUUUAACAUAGUUAGCAGAUUCAAAUUAUGCCUUUUGAUUAAAAAAAGUUGGAAGUUUUAGAUGACUUAAAGGAGUUGCCUUUUGAAACAUUUGCGGUGUCCUAACCAAGGUCUGAAAAUUGAUCCUGUAUCGACCAAGGAUGGUUUUGGUACGUACCGGAAUCGAUGAAGGGAGUUGAAGAGUAUGUUCGGCUAUGCCCUGAAAAUCUUGUUAUGGGCUCUUUCUUUAGCCUUCAAAUUCUUGUUUCGGAUUUCAUAUAGUAUUGCUUUUCUUAAA